AGUGAACGCUGGCGGUAGGCCUAACACAUGCAAGUCGAACGGCAGCACAGUAAGAGCUUGCUCUUACGGGUGGCGAGUGGCGGACGGGUGAGGAAUACAUCGGAAUCUACUUUUUCGUGGGGGAUAACGUAGGGAAACUUACGCUAAUACCGCAUACGACCUACGGGUGAAAUCAGGAGAUCUUCGGACCUUGCGCGAUUGAAUGAGCCGAUGUCGGAUUAGCUAGUUGGCGGGGUAAAGGCCCACCAAGGCGACGAUCCGUAGCUGGUCUGAGAGGAUGAUCAGCCACACUGGAACUGAGACACGGUCCAGACUCCUACGGGAGGCAGCAGUGGGGAAUAUUGGACAAUGGGCGCAAGCCUGAUCCAGCCAUACCGCGUGGGUGAAGAAGGCCUUCGGGUUGUAAAGCCCUUUUAUUGGGAAAGAAAAGCAGCAGGUUAAUACCCCGCUGUUCUGACGGUACCCAAAGAAUAAGCACCGGCUAACUUCGUG
rnacentral:rRNA from 1 species